CCUGCUUAUUCUUUGAACCCUUUGGCCGGCCUCUCUUAUUUUUUUUAUGUCUAAUCUUAUCUCCACCUAAACAUCCAUCAAUUUCUCCACCAUACAGAAUUUUCUCCUUAUUCUUUGAACCCUUUGGUCGGCCACGCCUAUUCUUCGUCUUUAUAAUUCUGCUUUCCUGUUCAAUACCACCAGUGACCUCAUUAGACACCAAAUUCUCACCACUAUCAUUUCUAUCUACAUUUUCAUUAGGCAAUUCCCAACUAUAAGGUACAAGACUUUUAAUUAUAUGUGCCGAACUCUUUG
rnacentral:misc_RNA from 1 species